UGGGGAAUUUUGGACAAUGGGCGCAAGCCUGAUCCAGCCUUUCCGCGUGCAGGACGAAGGCCUUCGGGUUGUAAACUGCUUUUGUACGGAACGAAAAGGCUCUGGCUAAUACCUGGGGCUCAUGACGGUACCGUAAGAAUAAGCACCGGCUAACUACGUGCCAGCAGCCGCGGUAAUACGUAGGGUGCAAGCGUUAAUCGGAAUUACUGGGCGUAAAGCGUGCGCAGGCGGUUAUGUAAGACAGAGGUGAAAUCCCCGGGCUCAACCUGGGAACUGCCUUUGUGACUGCAUAGCUGGAGUACGGCAGAGGGGGAUGGAAUUCCGCGUGUAGCAGUGAAAUGCGUAGAUAUGCGGAGGAACACCGAUGGCGAAGGCAAUCCCCUGGGCCUGUACUGACGCUCAUGCACGAAAGCGUGGGGAGCAAACA
rnacentral:rRNA from 1 species